GUUUGAUCGAGAAUCAGAUUGGACUAUUUAUCCAAUGGGGACAAAAUAUACGGUGUUUGGUUAAGAGUUUUAUGGGCAGGAUUAAAAUGUACAUCGCAAUAUAAUCCCAUAAAGUUUAGCAUAUAAAAUACCAUUGGGUUCUGGAAUUAAUAAACCAAUCACUAUAGUCCCAUUAGACAACAUAGCGUAUGGGAUAUAUAUCCCUUCACUGUUGGUCCCUAAUAGGCCCAAAAUGGUGUGAGUUAUGAGCUUGAAGGUACUUGAUUACUUUUCUAAUUACCACUUCGGAUGUGGGAGCAAAGCCAGCUGGCUAGCUUCUACACUCAAGUUCAGCCCUGCCUAACGGCCCCAACUUUAAGUUGUCAUUUUCCGAGGGAAGAAAUUUUUUGUUUUUUGCAACAAAUAGACCAAUGUGAGAGUCUAAUCUAAAGGUACAAUUCGCAGCAGACAUUUUUUUUAUGGCCCUUUCUGCUGUGGCAGCAGAAGGGCUGUGUAAUAACUAUGGCAAAACACCAGUAUUUGGACCAACUCACCAAGUGAAUCCUCUUUGUUUUUUUUUUUUGGAAUUCACCAAGUGAAUCCUUAAUAUAAUCAAAUCUAACCUCUCAUAGUUUCUUACAUGUUGAGGUCCAAUAGAGUAUAUAUUAAUGACAUACGGUGUGUGAACACCAAACUACCCUCCCAGAAAGAAGAAGCAAUACAUGUUUAUGUCCAAGUGGAACACCAAACCACCCUCCAAAAAAGAAGCAGCAAUACAUAAGAAAGAAACCCAAAAGUUGAAAAAU